AUUGAACGCUGGCGGCAUGCUUUACACAUGCAAGUCGAACGGUAACAGGGAGCUUGCUCCGCUGACGAGUGGCGAACGGGUGAGUAAUGCAUCGGAACGUACCCAGUCGUGGGGGAGUAACGUAGCGAAAGUUAACGCUAAUACCGCAUACGUCCUGAGGGAGGAAAGACGGGGGACCGGUAAGGACCUCGCGCGAUUGGAGCGGCCGAUGUCGGAUUAGCUAGUUGGUGGGGUAAAGGGACCGUACCAACGGACGACGAUCCGUAGCGGGUCGUGAGAGGAUGAUCCGCCACACUGGGAC
rnacentral:rRNA from 1 species